ACCAUAAAGGCCAAUGUAUCAAAAUAAACAACAAAAUACUUGUAUUUUGAAAUGCAUUUCAUUAAAAUACACGUGUUUUGUAUUUUAAAAUACAAAAAUACAUUUGCAAGUAGCUGGCCCAAACACCAACAGCAUUCUCAGUAACAGUUACAAAAACAUUUUCCUUGCUAUGACUGUGAUAUGUUGUUGUUUAACACCUUAGUUGAGCAAGUCACUCUGGAUAAGAAUGUCUACUAAAUGACCAAAAUGUAGAUGUGAAAUGGAACAUGACAAAUUAACUGCAAAGAACACUGGGUAUUGUUUUGGGGCGGAGCUCACUAGAAUAAUACUCAUCCUACACAUUUAUAUUAGACCAUAGGGAGGUAAAGCUAGCUGGACGAGGUCCGUAGGGAGGUAAAGCUAGCUGGACGAGGUCCGUAGGGAGGUAAAGCUAGCUGGACGAGGUCUGUAGGGAGGUAAAGCUAGCUGGACGAGGUCCGUAAGUAGGUAAAGCUAGCUGGAUGAGGGCCAUAGGGAUGUAAAGCUAGCUGGAUGAGGGCCAUAGGGAGGAAAAGCUAGCUGGAUGAGGGCCGUAGGGAGGUAAAGCUAGCUGGAUGAGGGCCGUAGGGAGGUAAAGCUAGCUGGAUGAGGGCCAUAGGGAUGUAAAGCUAGCUGGAUGAGGGCCGUAGGGAGGUAAAGAUAGCUGGAUGAGGGCCGUAGGGAGGUAAAGCUAGCUGGAUGAGGGCCGUAGGGAGGUAAAGCUAGCUGGAUGAGGGCCAUAGGGAUGUAAAGCUAGCUGGAUGAGGGCCGUAGGGAGGUAAAGCUAGCUGGAUGAGGGCCGUAGGGAGGUAAAGAUAGCUAUAGCAGUGUGUAAGUUACAAGGAUGUUAUGAUGAUAACCAUCUCACAAGAUCCCUGUCAUGUGAACACAUUAUUCCCCUGACACUAAUAAAAUAUUACUUCCCCUUCUGCUGAGGCGAGGUUGUAGGGCCCAGAAUAACCCGCUACCUCAUCAGCACACACAUCCUAACCAUGUGAAAGGUCAGAAGAACACAGGCCAUUGCUCAAUAUGAAACAUCGCUGUUCUAGUGAGAUCCUUUUAACACAGCGAAACUGUACUGAACACUAAACUUAAAAGAGGUACAUUUUGUUUUCAGUGGCCUUUGAUAUACAGUUUAGCAAGGUUGUUUGGGGUCAAUGACAUUUCAAUGAAUGAAGUAUGUAUAAACUUUUGAUUGUUUUUAUUAAAUCAGGAAAUGGAAUUUAUCCAAAUCCUACCGUUUAGUAAAGCAUCUGUUCUGUUCGGACAUAAUCUGAAUUCUGUACUUUGUACUGUUCCUGCACAGGUCAGUGGUGAAGACUCUGUUCCUUCUUGAACAACAGGAGAUGGAAGGCACUGGUUACUCUGAUGUCCCACUACCUCAUCAGCACUCACAUCCUAACCAGCUGAAAAGUCAACCAUGAGGAGAGCUCUAUCAGGCCAUUGGUGAGAGACUGAGAGUCAACAUUCUCGUGGGAUCCUUCUACCACAGGGAGAAUGUGUGUAGUGGGCGUUCCAGUGACCUAUGAUAUUAUUUAGCAGGGUUGGGGACCAAUUCUGUUUCCUUAUAUAAAAGAAAAUACUUCCUGAAUUGACUUGAAUUGAAAUGGAAUCGACUCCCAAACCUUCUGUUUUAAAAUGGUGUGUUUUAGUGACCUUUCCACAUACUGUUUCAUCUGUUUCGUUCUGACAUGACUGCGUACUCAGUUUUGUGCGCUGUAGCCUACCUGCACAGAUCGGGACUGAAGAUGUACAGUCUCUCCGUCUUGGACAGCAGGGGGUGGAAGGCACUGCCGUCUGUACCGUUGAUCAUAUUACUCUGCUCAGACGUCCACAGGCUCAGUUUACUGAAACACAAUGAUUUAUUUCUAAAUGUAACUCAAUUAAAGGAAGAAUCUAAUACCUAUAAAAUACAAAAGCACUGUCUAGCCCAAUGUUUGAUUGUUUAGGUUUAUACGACUUAUCAAACAAUGUAUUAAAUCAAAUCAAAUGAAAUGUUAUUGGUCACGUACAUAUAUUUAGCAGAUGUUAUUGCGGGUGUAUCGAAAUGCUUGUGUUACUAGCUCUAACAGUGCAAUAAUAUCUAACAAUUCACAACAAUACACACAAAUCUAAAAGUAAAAUUAUUAAAGUGACUAGUGUUCCAUAAUUAAAGUGACUAGUGUUCCAUUAUUAAAGUGACUAGUGUUCCAUAAUUAAAGUGACUAGUGUUCCAUUAUUAAAGUGACUAGUGUUCCAUUAUUAAAGUGACUAGUAUUCCAUUAUUAAAGUGACUAGUGUUCCAUUAUUAAAGUGACUAGUGUUCCAUUAUUAAAGUGACUAGUGUUCCAUUAUUAAAGUGACUAGUGUUCCAUAAUUAAAGUGACUAGUGUUCCAUUAUUAAAGUGACUAGUAUUCCAUUAUUAAAGUGACUAGUGUUCCAUUAUUAAAGUGACUAGUGUUCCAUUAUUAAAGUGACUAGUGUUCCAUUAUUAAAGUGACUAGUGUUCCAUUAUUAAAGUAACCAGUAAUUCCAUGUCUAUAUAGGGCAGCAGCCUCUAAGGUGCAGGGUUGAGUAGCUGGGUGGUAAUUGGCUAGUGAUGGCUGUUUAACAGUCUGAUGGCCUUGAGAUACAAUGUUAAUACACAUUUGUGCUUUAUCUUGUUAGGUUCUAUAACAGAGUAAAAAAAAACUCAUGGACAACUAGGGAAAGCUUGAACCAAGUUUAUUCACCCAAUGGGUCAGACAGCUGACAGCUGAACAGACAAAGACAUGUUCCCACCAGCACAAGUAUAUAUACCCCACUUUAGGUGUGGUAUAUAUAAGCAGGAAGUUAACUGAUGUGAACUGUUCCUUCUCAAUGUGACCCGGACCUAACCUCGGGCCCCAUUCCUCACUACUUAUCAGUGACAUAAACCAUGUGAUUGCCUUUCCUUUACUCAGUACAUUCCCCUGGCUCAUAUCCAACCUGAAUUGACCUCACGAUAUUCAAACGUCCUACAGAUAUCCAUUAACUUCUGGUGUAGAAACCAGACUGUGGUCCUUCUCCUUUCCAUAGGAUACCUGCUGUCUAACAAGAACAUGUUCUGACAGAAUGUAAACGUUCUGCAUUCCCCUCUCUCUCUCUCUCCGUAGCAUUGAUCAAGGAUAUUUCACACUUCAAGUUCAGAAGUCUGAAGCCAUCAAUCUAAUCAAAGGGGAAGAAGGAAAAGAUGCUGCCCUGCGUCCAUACUGAUACUCUAGCAGGACGUGAGAAGAUAGCUAACGAGAAGUUCUCAUUGAGUCUUUUCUAACAGGGCCAAAUACCAGAAUGUGACAAUCACACAGCUCUGUGUUCUGGCUAGGCUAGGGGCCUCUGGGGAGUCUCUCUCUCUCUCUCUCUCUGGUGCUGCAGACUCCUGGUCCACAUUCCAAAUGGAACCCUAUUUCCUAUACAGAGCACUACUUUGAAACAGGGCCAACAGGGGCUCUGGUCAAAAGUAGGAGCACUACAUAGAGAAUAGUGUGCCAUUUGGGAUGCAAGCCCUGUCCUCUGUUACUCUCUCGCAGUAUGUAGAAGGUCUUAGGAAACCUGUGGACUGUUCCAUUCCAGUCUUUUACACAAGAGAGUUACUUAAUGAUGGGUUUCUCAUCAUCAAACACAAGUGUUCAUCUAGGAGACGAUGUGCAGGUUACAGUAUGUAAUGUAGCAGACGGAGGAUGUGCAGGUUACAGUAUGUAAUGUAGCAGACAUAGGAUGUGCAGGUACAGUAUGUAAUGUAGCAGACAGUUAGAUGAUGUGCAGGUACAGUAUGUAAUGUAGCAGACAGACAAUGUGCAGGUACAGUAUGUAAUGUAGCAGACAGACGAUGUGCAGGUACAGUAUGUAAUGUAGCAGACAGUUAGAGGAUGUGCAGGUACAGUAUGUAAUGUAGCAGACAGAGGAUGUGCAGGUACAGUAUGUAAUGUAGCAGACAGUUAGACGAUGUGCAGGUACAGUAUGUAAUGUAGCAGACAGUUAGACGAUGUGCAGGUUACAGUAUGUAAUGUAGCAGACAGUUAGACGAUGUGCAGGUACAGUAUGUAAUGUAGCAGACAGACGAUGUGAAGGUUACAGUAUGUAAUGUAGCAGACAGACGAUGUGCAGGUACAGUAUGUAAUGUAGCAGACAGUUAGAGGAUGUGCAGGUACAGUAUGUAUUGUAGCAGACAGUUAGAGGAUGUGCAGAAAACAGUAUGUAUGUACAGUAUGUAAUGUAGCAGACAGUAAGAUGAUGUGCAGGUACAGUAUUUAAUGUAGCAGACAGAGGAUGUGCAGGUCCAGUAUGUAAUGUAGCAGACAGUUAGACGAUGUGCAGGUACAGUAUGUAAUGUAGCAGACAGUUAGAGGAUGUGCAGGUACAGUAUGUAAUGUAGCAGACAGUUAGACGAUGUGCAGGUUACAGUAUGUAAUGUAGCAGACAGUUAGACGAUGUGCAGGUACAGUAUGUAAUGUAGCAGAGAGACGAUGUGCAGGUACAGUAUGUAAUGUAGCAGACAAUUAGAGGAUGUGCAGGUACAGUAUGUAAUGUAGCAGACAGUUAGAGGAUGUGCAGGUUACAGUAUGUAAUGUAGCAGACUGUUAGAGGAUGUGCAGGUACAGUAUGUAAUGUAGCAGACAGUUAGAGGAUGUGCAGGUUACAGUAUGUAAUGUAGCAGACAGACGAUGUGAAGGUUACAGUAUGUAAUGUAGCAGACAGACGAUGUGCAGGUACAGUAUGUAAUGUAGCAGACAGUUAGAGGAUGUGCAGGUACAGUAUGUAUUGUAGCAGACAGUUAGAGGAUGUGCAGAAAACAGUAUGUAUGUACAGUAUGUAAUGUAGCAGACAGUAAGAUGAUGUGCAGGUACAGUAUUUAAUGUAGCAGACAGAGGAUGUGCAGGUCCAGUAUGUAAUGUAGCAGACAGUUAGACGAUGUGCAGGUACAGUAUGUAAUGUAGCAGACAGAGGAUGUGCAGGUACAGUAUGUAAUGUAGCAGACAGAGGAUGUGCAGGUACAGUAUGUACUGUAGCAGACAGUUAGAGGAUGUGCAGGUUACAGUAUGUAAUGUAGCAGACAGAGGAUGUGCAGGUACAGUAUGUAAUGUAGCAGACAGUUAGACGAUGUGCAGGUACAGUAUGUAAUGUAGCAGACAGUUAGAGGAUGUGCAGGUUACAGUAUGUAAUGUAGCAGACAGUUAGAGGAUGUGCAGGUACAGUAUGUAAUGUAGCAGACAGACGAUGUGCAGGUACAGUAUGUAAUGUAGCAGACAGACGAUGUGCAGGCACAGUAUGUAAUGUAGCAGACAGAGGAUGUGCAGGUACAGUAUGUACUGUAGCAGACAGUUAGAGGAUGUGCAGGUACAGUAUGUAAUGUAGCAGACAGUUAGAGGAUGUGCAGGUACAGUAUGUAAUGUAGCAGACAGUUCGAGGAUGUGCAGGUACAGUAUGUAAUGUAGCAGACAGACGAUGUGCAGGUUACAGUAUGUAAUGUAGCAGACAGUUCGAGGAUGUGCAGGUACAGUAUGUAAUGUAGCAGACAGAGGAUGUGCAGGUACAGUAUGUAAUGUAGCAGACAGACGAUGUGCAGGUACAGUAUGUAAUGUAGCAUACAGACGAUGUGCAGGUUACAGUAUGUAAUGUAGCAGACAGUUAGACGAUGUGCAGGUACAGUAUGUAAUGUAGCAGACAGUUAGACGAUGUGCAGGUACAGUAUGUAAUGUAGCAGACAGUUAGAGGAUGUGCAGGUACAGUAUGUAAUGUAGCAGACAGUUAGACGAUGUGCAGGUACAGUAUGUAAUGUAGCAUACAGACGAUGUGCAGGUUACAGUAUGUAAUGUAGCAGACAGUUAGACGAUGUGCAGGUACAGUAUGUAAUGUAGCAGACAGUU
rnacentral:lncRNA from 1 species